UAGGGAAUCUUCCACAAUGGACGAAAGUCUGAUGGAGCAACGCCGCGUGAGUGAAGAAGGGUUUCGGCUCGUAAAGCUCUGUUGGUAGUGAAGAAAGAUAGAGGUAGUAACUGGCCUUUAUUUGACGGUAAUUACUUAGAAAGUCACGGCUAACUACGUGCCAGCAGCCGCGGUAAUACGUAGGUGGCAAGCGUUGUCCGGAUUUAUUGGGCGUAAAGCGAGUGCAGGCGGUUCAAUAAGUCUGAUGUGAAAGCCUUCGGCUCAACCGGAGAAUUGCAUCAGAAACUGUUGAACUUGAGUGCAGAAGAGGAGAGUGGAACUCCAUGUGUAGCGGUGGAAUGCGUAGAUAUAUGGAGGAACACCAGUGGCGAAGGCGGCUCUCUGGUCUGCAACUGACGCUGAGGCUCGAAAGCAUGGGUAGCGAACAGG
rnacentral:rRNA from 1 species